CGAUUGUGUAAAGAAGUGUUUUAUAAAAUUAAGUUCUUUUUGCUGUCUCUAUGACAUGUGACAGAUUUUUUGCCAAAAUAUUUUUUUAUCAAACUAUGUUCCUUGUCUCAAAUAAGAUUCUUAAAAUAAUACAAUAGUAUUAAUAGUUUUAGUAGAAAAAUACUAAGAUAAUCUACUAUUUUUCAAAAUUUCGUAAUGAAUAUGACGACAGAAAAUAAUGGGUUGCAAAAUAAUAGUCAAAGCAGUAACUCCCACCAAGUACAUGAAGAUGAAAGCGACGAAGGAAGCUGUUCUUGUGAUCAUAGCACCACACAAGCUCAAGCAUGUGAAAUUCAAAAUAUAAUAGCUAUGGAUUUGUGUUCAGCUGAUGAUAUAAGACAAAAAAUGAAAUCCGUCCUAACGGCCAAAGUGCUUAAAAAACAAACAUCUGAGCCAAUAAGCGAUUUUCCAAAAAAACACGAACGAUCGCCAUUGAAUUCUCAAAAGAGAGAUGGGCCAGUCGAACAGAAAGUUGAACAUUCACAGAACGCGCCAGAUAGCAACCCUAACAACUUAAUUACAUUAGAAAAUGAAGGAACAUCAAGGAAAAGGCCAGGACGACCGCCGAAGGCAGGCUGUUCCAAGAAACGAAAAAUUGUACAAAAAGUUGAUUUUUACAUGGGAAAAUUGUCGAACGUGGUUUAUUUUAAAAGAAGAUAUAAUUAUUAGGACACUUGUGCUUUUUAAUCGAUAUGAUAAUAACAAACAAAUGGGACUAUAAA